rnacentral:tRNA from 1 species
GGGGAUUUAGCUCAGCGGGAGAGCAUCCGCUUUGCAAGCGGAGGGUCUGGGGUUCGAAUCCCCAAAUCUCCACCA